GACGUAGGGCGCGAGCGUUGUCCGGAUUUAUUGGGCGUAAAGAGCUCGUAGGCGGCUUGUCGCGUCGACUGUGAAAACCCGCAGCUCAACUGUGGGCUUGCAGCCGAUACGGGCAGGCUAGAGUUCGGUAGGGGAGACUGGAAUUCCUGGUGUAGCGGUGAAAUGCGCAGAUAUCAGGAAGAACACCCGUGGCUAAGGCGGCUCUCUGGGCAUGUCCUGACGCUGAGGAGCGAAAGUGUGGGGAGCGAACAGG
rnacentral:rRNA from 1 species